rnacentral:lncRNA from 1 species
UCUGCUAACAGCAGCACGCCACAUUCUGUUCUCUGGGCUCUAUUUCCACCGGUGACGGAUUGUAUAAAUGGGAGAGAUUGUAUUUACAGUGUGUUGGCAGAGCUUAUUGUGUCUGAGGCAGCGCUAGUCCAAUAAUCAUCAGAGCCACAGCCACAAAUCUUCAUUAGCCGAUUAGCAGAGAGCGAGAGACAGCUUGUGUUCUUUUUCCUAUAUUUGUGAGCCUGUAUGUGUAUGUGCUUGUGUGUGUGUGUCACCUUUCCUCCCUCCCUCCUGUCUCCUUUACUUAAUCUUGAACCUAUAAAGUGUAAACUUGACCCCUACAGUGCCACCUUCUUACCUGAGUCACACACGCACGCUCACACUCACACUCUCUCACACACUCACACACGCACACAUGCACACACGCACACGCACACACACACACUUGUUAUGUUGUUCCCUGAAGGAGCAUCGGCAGCCAAGUGGGCAUCAAGACACAAGACAGAACAAAUUAAGGUCACAGCGGGAACAUCCAAGCCAGAAAACCACAGGAGGGCAGAGCACAGUGACUCACCUGGAGCCUGUUGUGUUGGACCCAUCACAUGUUCUGUAAAAGGGAGCCGUUGGGAGGAUCUAUUUCAGAUCACUUUGAGGUGUAAUAGCUCAAUCUCACAGCACAGGGCACUUACAGGUCUCCUGUCUCACUCUUGCCGCGGGUCAAAGGAAGGGAAGGACUCUACCGAAUGCCAAUAAAGCCUGCAGCAGGGUGACCUUGACAGCAGGUAACCUCACAGGGUGCUCCUGCUGCGACACGGGCACAAAGGAGGUGUGUGUUUUGUGUUCGCGUGUCUUUGUGUGUGUGUGUGUGUGUGCAAUCCAUCACUGCAGGGCUACAGCAGGGUGACCUUGACAGCAGGGAACCUCACAGGGUGCUCCUUCUACUGCCACGACACGGGCACAAAGGAGGUGUGUGUGUGUGUUGAUACAGUAACAGCAGAGGACCGAACACCACACAGAGACCAAGUCCAGCAGGUCGUGUUGGUGUGGCGAUGAUGACGCAGGCGAAGAAGUCCAUGGUCAUCAAUGAUUUAUCUCCCUGUGUUGUGAUGCGAGGGGGGGGGGGGGGUGAAGCUGCGCUCUAUGACAGAUGUGGAGGGGUAUGCAUGGUGCAGAAUGAACUCCGUCUCCUUCUCAUCCCGCCCGGAGCUUCACUGAUGCUCUGUUACCCUUCAAUUGCCCCUCUGUUGUCUCCGGUCUCCCGACAUUACCCCGUCACCGCCCGAGCUCAUAAAGCCACAUUCUCUCGUUCUCUCUUCUCCUUUUUUCUCGCACUUACUCUUUCAUAGCUGCAUUUACCUAUUCUUUUAUCCUCCCCUUUGCCUACCUGUUCUCUCUCUCUAUCUCUUCCUAUCUCUCUCUCUCUCUCUCUUUCUCUCUCUCUCUCUCAGCCUCUCAGCCUCUCAGCCUCUAUAAUUUUUCAGAAACAAUCAGUGGAGUUUCCAUUUCACUGCCCAGCACUGCCGCAGUCUGAGACGUGGUACUGGGAUGGAGGGAGGAGGGAGGAAUAGAGGGAGCAACGCCACAUCUGCCUGUCCUCGAAUGGAAGAGGGAUGCAUACACACAGACAUGCGCACACAAAGCCACACACACACACAUACAAGCCACACAGACACAGGUAACUACCAAAGUAAUGAAAACACAAGUAAAUGAGGGCUACAAAGUAUAUUGAAAGCAGGUGCUUCCCCACAGGUGUGGUUUUUGAGCUAAUUACAGUUUACCCCAAUUGUUAACACACGUUUGCUGAAACAACUUCUCAGGCUCUCAAAACUCUAAACACAAAACAUAAAACAGUUUUCCCCAAACCCCACAGACAUCUUGCAAUAUGAAACACAGCAAUCAAAAUCAUGUACUCCCUGCUCAAAAUGAAACUCUGCAUACAAAUGAGACACACACACACACUAACUUAGUGACAACCGAGAUCACACUAAUGUGAUAUAUUGAAAACACUGCUAUCAGAACCUAUUUCAGUGUAAAGACUAAGAUUGUGUUCUUAUACUGUAUACUGUUUGUGUUUACUCUAACAAGAAAGGAACACAAAUGCAAAAUUUUUUGUUUCAAAUCUCAACAUGACUUAAUAUAUGUCAA